rnacentral:rRNA from 1 species
GCAAGUCGACGGCAGCCGGGAGCAAUCCUGGUGGCGAGUGGCGAACGGGUGAGUAAUAUAUCGGAACGUGCCCAAUCGUGGGGGAUAACGCAGCGAAAGCUGUGCUAAUACCGCAUACGAUCUACGGAUGAAAGCGGGGGACUCGCAAGAGCCUCGCGCGAAUGGAGCGGCCGAUAUCAGAUUAGCUAGUUGGUGGGGUAAAAGCUCACCAAGGCGACGAUCUGUAGCUGGUCUGAGAGGACGACCAGCCACACUGGAACUGAGACACGGUCCAGACUCCUACGGGAGGCAGCAGUGGGGAAUUUUGGACAAUGGGCGAAAGCCUGAUCCAGCAAUGCCGCGUGCAGGAUGAAGGCCUUCGGGUUGUAAACUGCUUUUGUACGGAACGAAACGGUCUUUUCUAAUAAAGAGGGCUAAUGACGGUACCGUAAGAAUAAGCACCGGCUAACUACGUGCCAGCAGCCGCGGUAAUACAGAGGUCCCGAGCGUUAAUCGGAAUUACUGGGCGUAAAGCGUGCGCAGGCGGUGAUGUAAGACAGAUGUGAAAUCCCCGGGCUCAACCUGGGACCUGCAUUUGUGACUGCAUCGCUAGAGUACGGUAGAGGGGGAUGGAAUUCCGCGUGUAGCAGUGAAAUGCGUAGAUAUGCGGAGGAACACCGAUGGCGAAGGCAAUCCCCUGGACCUGUACUGACGCUCAUGCACGAAAGCGUGGGGAGCAAACAGGAUUAGAUACCCUGGUAGAAUCACUAGUGAAUUC